ACUUACGGUGGCGCUGGCGGAGCAGCAAACGCUGGCCGUUUUCUUUGUGCACGGUAUUCCUACCUCCGUCAGCGCUGCCCCUCCC
rnacentral:antisense_RNA from 1 species